AAGUCGUAACAAGGUCUCCGUUGGUGAACCANCGGAGGGAUCAUUACUGAGUUACACUCUCAACCCUUGCGAAUCUUCUUGGUUGCUUCGGCAGAUUUUCCCUGGGAGGGAAGCAAACAAAUCUGCCNNNNNNUUGCAACUCUGAUUUCAGUGGCAUUCUGAAGAAACUUGAAAAAGUAAAAACUUUCAGCAACGGAUCUCUUGGUUCUGGCAUCGAUGAAGAACGCAGCGAAAUGCGAUAAGUAAUGUGAAUUGCANAAUUUAGUGAAUCAUCGAAUCUUUGAACGCACAUUGCGCCUAUUAGUAUUCUAGUAGGCAUGCCUGUUCGAGCGUCAUUUCAGACUCAGACUUCUGAAGUUGGAAUAUGUGUGAUCUCACAGUUCCUAAAUACAAUAACGGAUAUAAUGAAUAAGCCGGGUGUAGUAAAUCUCGCCUAGGUUUUUGUUUCUGUCCGUCUCUCUUAUAAAAUGUUGACCUCGAAUCAGGUAGGAAUACCCGCUGAACUUA
rnacentral:rRNA from 1 species